UGGGCUGGCCCGGGUCAGUGCAUGACGCACGAGUGCUCCGCCACAGUCCACUGUACAGGAGGUCAGUGUACCCUCCUCCAGGGCACUUUAUCCUGGCAGACCGAGGUUACCCAUGCCUCCGACAGACACUCCCCCUCAUCAAUGCCUAUAAGAGGCCAGUACAAGGUGUGGGAGCCCAGCGCUUUAACGUCCAUCAUUCCAGGACACGCUCCAUUAUAGAGCAUGCUUUUGGGAUGAUGAAGACCAGAUUCAGGGCCAUCUUCCUGCAAGUGCUGGAGGUGCACCACACCUUUGUACCUCACGUCAUAACUGCCUGUGCCAUCCUCCAUAAUAUCUGCCUUGGGGUUGGUGACAUCAUGGCCCCGGAGGAUGAGCACGAGGAGGAGAUGGCAGAGGAGGAGGAUGAGGGGGAGCAUGCUUUGGAGACAGUCAGUGGUGCUCCACGGCGUGACCAGCUGUCUGCAGAGGUGUCUGCCCUGGAGGAGGUACCCGCUGACCACGACUAUUUGUAACAGUGACAUGACAGCUGUCGAUUGUGUCAGCCCUGCAAACCUGUUGGUAGAUAACGCAAUGGACGGUGGAAAUAUGCACUCAAACACCCAGGAGACCAUCCCAGAUGAUGUCCCACCAGCAGAGAGGCCUUACCAGGGUCUGUAUUGUGGCAGCCCAUCCAGGUCCAGC
ensembl:lncRNA